GGGGAAUAUUGGACAAUGGGCGGAAGCCUGAUCCAGCCAUGCCGCGUGUGUGAAGAAGGCCUUUUGGUUGUAAAGCACUUUAAGCGAGGAGGAGGCUACCUGGAUUAAUACUCUGGGAUAGUGGACGUUACUCGCAGAAUAAGCACCGGCUAACUCUGUGCCAGCAGCCGCGGUAAUACAGAGGGUGCGAGCGUUAAUCGGAUUUACUGGGCGUAAAGCGUGCGUAGGCGGCUGAUUAAGUCGGAUGUGAAAUCCCUGAGCUUAACUUAGGAAUUGCAUUCGAUACUGGUCAGCUAGAGUAUGGGAGAGGAUGGUAGAAUUCCAGGUGUAGCGGUGAAAUGCGUAGAGAUCUGGAGGAAUACCGAUGGCGAAGGCAGCCAUCUGGCCUAAUACUGACGCUGAGGUACGAAAGCAUGGGGAGCAAAC
rnacentral:rRNA from 1 species